rnacentral:tRNA from 1 species
GGUGUAGCACAAUGGUAGAGCACUUGCCUAGCAUGUGUGAGGCACUGGGUUCAAUCCUCAGCACCA